rnacentral:snRNA from 1 species
GGAUGUGAGGGCAAUCGGGGUGUGACAUCUGUCACCCCACUGAUCACCAGAGUUGAUUCGGCUGAUCUGUCUAGCUAGGCGGGUGUCCCCUUCCUCCUUCACCGCUCAAUGUGCGUCCGUCCGGAAGCUGCACGCUCUGUCGAAGAGGACGGCCAUCCCCGAUAGAGGAGGACCGUUCUCGGUCAAGGGUAUACGAGUAGCUGCGCUCCCCUGCUAGAACCUCCAAACAAGCUCUCAAAACAAACUAACAGCAUCAAAUUAUUUUCUCAUUAAUUUUAGGCAUCCUUACUUACGGCAGGGCCACUGCUACUUUGACCUAUAAUU